rnacentral:rRNA from 1 species
AUUGAACGCUGGCGGCAGGCCUAACACAUGCAAGUCGAGCGGAUGAAGGGAGCUUGCUCCUGGAUUCAGCGGCGGACGGGUGAGUAAUGCCUAGGAAUCUGCCUGGUAGUGGGGGAUAACGUCCGGAAACGGGCGCUAAUACCGCAUACGUCCUGCGGGAGCAAGUGGGGGAUCUUCGGACCUCACGCUAUCAGAUGAGCCUAGGUCGGAUUAGCUAGUUGGUGGGGUAAAGGCCUACCAAGGCGACGAUCCGUAACUGGUCUGAGAGGAUGAUCAGUCACACGGGAACUGAGACACGGACCAGACGCCUGCGAGAGGCAGCAGUGGGGAAUAGUAGACAAUGGGCGAGAGCCUGAUCCAGCCAGGCGGCGUGUGUGAAGAAGGUCUUCGGAUUGGAAAGCACUUUAAGGUGGGAGGAAGGGCAGUAAGUUAAUACCUUGCUGUUUUGACGUUACCGACAGAAUAAGCACCGGCUAACUUCGUG